GAUGCCCGCCCUCGGUCCAUUCUCUCGGUGUCUUCCGCUACCCUGGUGCGAACCGGAACUUGGUGAAGGUGCAGUGGUGACUGCUGGGUUUAUGGGGAGGACUGAGCCGGCACCGUGGUGCAGCCGUGCAAGUCGUUCUGGCAGCUUGCCGAAUUUGAAUUGCCGAUCUGAAAGCAGGCUUGAGGCGAUUUUUUUUUCCUGCCGGCUGCUUCAUCUCGUUCCUUUUGCCCUCUCCGUUUUAAUGAAUCAUAUCUGCUAGACGUUACUAACUGUUUCUCCGCAGAGAACCUCAGUUGCGCUGACGAUCUCUUUUGUCGGGGGGUAACCGGCCGAUAUGAAAUGUCUAAGGGAACUACAUUUUUAGACCCAUUUACACUGGAUUUGAUCUUUUUUUUUUACAAAAUGCGCAAACUGUGCUUCCAGUGUUUCCGGCGAAGAUCAAUGUGAAAGACAGUGGCUGAAGUGCUUUAUUAAUCAAACAGAGGCUAGCUUAAGUGGGUUUUGCUUCCAAGAUGAUGAGGAAGUAGUUGGAUUUUAAAAUGAGAACGACAGUUUCACCCAUCAACCUUUCUAUUCAACGUGCUCAACAUACAGAGCAUUUGUACUUGGAGGAAAGCAAGAGGAGAAAAGGCAGUGUGAGCUCAUGUUAAACCACCGACAGCACCACCUUUACCUGAAAGAAUUGUCUUUAGUUCAACGGUUGUUGAAAUGUCUGGUGGUUCACAGCUGCACAGUACUUAGUUUCUGGGGUGAUAAGCAACUCUACGUAAUAGACAUCCUGUAACAAUCUUAAGGUUAUUGUGGCAAGGAACAGAUCAUUAUUAUUGAACCUGAUGGUGGUUAAAACAUCUGUAAAUGAAAGCUGGUUGUAUCUUCUUUAAUAAAGAAAACAGUGAUACCCAGACCAGCACUCUGCUCUGUAGAAAGACUGUUCAUUUGCUGGGGGAUUCAAUUUUUAAUUCGAAGAGGGAAGGACUGUAGCCCAUCUGAUGAUUUCUAAUAAUCAUUUAACUAAGAAAUUAACAAAAAACCACCCAGUAUUUAAUGAAAACAAGUUUCUGAAAAGUUAGUGUGUUUGAAGUUUGUCACAGAUGCUUCCGUUGGCAAUUACCUGUUUGUGUUUCCGCGCAGGCUGCAUGGUAGCUAUUAUGAGCUCGCUAUUCUGAAGUAAUUGUGGCAAUCUCAGUCCAGUUCUCAGCAGACCAAUGGAUGCAUCGUUACUAACUAGAACUGUCCCUCAAGAAGUGUCUGGAGUCCAUCGUGGGAAGAGAGGUCACCUGCUGCAGGUUACUUUCGGUUAGCUUUCCCCCAAGAAGAAAUCAAGACAGUUUACACUUGAAGGGUACUUGGACAAAUCUAGGACACCUGUUAACUUGUGUCAAGCUGGAAUUCUUGUGAAAAGCUAAGCAUUUGCUCCUGGCUGCUGGGAGAAAAUUCUGCUUUCAGGUUAUAAGAGAUGAUCAUUUGAAGAAUCAGUUUUCCAAUAUGAACAAAGUAAAAACAUCAUCUGAAAAAAGUGUUUCUACCAGUUCUCGGACUAUGUCCCUGCUCUCGCAGCUGGAGAAGAUCAAUUUGGACUCUGUAUUAGGAGAAGCAGACAAUGCCAGAUACAUUACCUCAAAGAUCCUUCAUUUGGUUCAGAGUCAAGAAAAAACCAGGAAGGAGAUGACCUCUAAGGGCUCCACUGGAAUAGAAGUUAUCCUGUCAACCCUAGAGAAUACAAAAGAUCCUCAAACUAUUCUAAAUAUAUUGAAUAUUCUCAUUGAGGUGGUCUCAGUUGGUGGUGGUCGGAGAGCAAGCGUCUUAGUCACUAAAGGAGGGACACAGAUCUUAUUGCAGCUGCUUUUGACUGCCAGCAAAGACUCUCCACCAAAUGAAGAAUUAAUGGUGCUUCUUCACACUCUUCUUGCAAAAAUUGGUCCAAAAGACAAAAAGAUUGGCAUGAAAGCAAGAAUUAAUGGUGCCCUAAACAUAUCAUUGAAUUUAGUGAAGCAGAAUUUGCAGAACCACAGGCUAAUAUUGCCAUGUCUUCAAGUAUUAAGAGUUUACUCAACCAACUCUGUAAAUGCAAUGUCAUUGGGAAAGAAUGGAGUAGUAGAACUGAUGUUUAAGAUCAUUGGCCCUUUUAGUAAAAAGAACACUAGCCUUAUGAAGGUUGCUUUAGACACACUUGCUGCAUUGCUAAAAUCAAAAACAAAUGCCAGGAGAGCAGUAGACAGAGGAUAUGUGCAGGUGCUUUUAACAAUUUAUGUUGAUUGGCACCGUCAUGACAGUCGACACAGAUACAUGCUCAUACGUAAAGGAGUUUUACAGUGCAUUAAAAGUGUUACAAACAUCAAAUUGGGAAGAAAAGCAUUCAUUGAUGCCAAUGGGAUGAAAAUUCUUUACAACACUUCACAAGAGUGCCUUGCAGUAAGAACUCUUGAUGCCCUUGUCAACACAUCCAGCCUAAUAAUGAGGAAAUGUUUUCCUAAAAAUCGUCUCCCUUUACCAACUAUUAAAAGUGCUUUCCAUUUCCAACUCCCAGUUAUUCCUGCCAGUGGUCCUGUGGCUCAGCUAUACAAUUUGCCUCCUGAUGUGGAUGAUGUAGUAGAUGAAAGUGAUGAUAAUGAUGAUGCUGAAAUAGAAUCAGAAGUUGAAACUGAAAAUGAUGAUGAUAAGGACCAACAUUUUAAGAAUGAUGAUAUUGAGACUGAUAUUAAUAAGCUGAAACCUAGACAGGAAUUGGGAAGACCCAUAGAAGAACUGAAAAUGUAUGAGCAAUUUUUCCCUGAACUUUCAGAAAACUUUCAGGAGUGUGACUUAGUUUCCAAGGAACCAAAGCCUUUUGUACCUGAUGCAAAUCUGGGUGGACCUAUUGUUGUUCCUACAGCAGGAGAGGAGCACUCUGCUGAAGCAAACCAGUCAAUGAAAGGAGUUGCUUUGAAGGAGAGCAAUCCUUUAUUGACAGAGGAAUACAAUAGAAGGCCAGCCUUUCUGGAACUACCAAAGAAAGAUAGUAUCAAAGACAGUAGUUUACAUCAGCAAAAUGAUCAAAGAAACUUGCUUCCAUCAUGCCAGUGUCUAAGCCAAGAAAUUGUGAAAGGCUUGGACAGAAUCAGUCUUCAGAACAGUGCAAAAAAUGAUCAGCAUUAUGGUAUAGGGUGUGUAAUAAAGAAGGAAAGCAAAACUAGCCUUACCACACUUGCUUGUAGCAAACCUUGUGAACACGUUUCACCCUGUGGAAGUAGCCUCUUUGAAGGAUCAUCUGUCCAGCUGGGAAAACUCUGCUGCACUGGAGUGGAUUCAGAGGAAGAGGAUUCCAGGUCUAGUUCAUCAGGGGAACAAGUCAUGCUUGAGGUUUCUGAUGUAUCACCAGUUCAUGACUGUGAUCUUUAUAUUGAAAUGGUAAAAACCACAAAAUCUAUCCCUGAAUAUUCAGAAGUAGCCUAUCCAGAUUAUUUUGGACAUAUUCCACCCCCAUUUAAGGAGCCCAUUCUGGAAAGGCCAUAUGGGGUGCAGAGGACAAAAAUAUCUCAAGAUAUUGAAAGACUGAUUCAUCAAAAUGACAUUAUAGACAGAGUUGUGUAUGACCUUGAUAAUUUGAGUUCUUCAGUACCAGAGGAAGCAGAUGUUUUGAAGUUUAAUUCCAAAUUUGAAUCUGGAAAUCUCCGCAAAGUUAUUCAGAUCAGAAAAAACGAGUAUGAUCUAAUUCUGAACUCGGAUAUAAAUAGCAAUCAUUAUCAUCAAUGGUUUUACUUUGAAGUCAGUGGAAUGAAAACUGGCAUUGGUUACCGGUUUAACAUCAUCAACUGUGAAAAGUCAAACAGUCAGUUUAACUACGGUAUGCAGCCCCUCAUGUAUUCUGUUCAAGAAGCAUUAAAUUCUCGACCAUGUUGGACUCGUGUUGGGACAGAUAUUUGUUACUAUAAGAAUCAUUUCUCAAGAAGUUCAAUUGCUGCUGGAGGUCAGAAAGGAAAAUCUUAUUACACAAUUACGUUCACAGUGACUUUCCAACAUAAAGAUGAUGUCUGUUACUUCGCUUACCAUUAUCCAUAUACAUACUCAACUUUAAAGAUGCAUCUUCAGAAGCUGGAAUCUAUGCACAACCCUCAACAGAUAUAUUUUCGACAAGAUGUUCUCUGUGAGACCCUGGCUGGCAACAGUUGUCCCUUAGUCACUAUUACAGCCAUGCCGGAGUCCAAUUACUAUGAACAUAUCUAUCAGUUCAGGAAUCGUCCUUAUAUUUUCCUGUCUGCUCGUGUACAUCCUGGAGAGACUAAUGCAAGCUGGGUUAUGAAGGGAACCCUGGAAUACCUUAUGAGCAAUAAUCCAAGUGCCCAAAGUUUACGAGAAUCUUACAUUUUCAAAAUUAUUCCCAUGCUCAAUCCAGAUGGUGUCAUCAGUGGAAACCACCGUUGCUCUUUAAGUGGAGAAGAUUUAAACAGACAGUGGCAAAAUCCAAAUCCAGAUCUGCAUCCCACUAUUUACCAUGCUAAAGGGUUACUGCAAUAUCUGGCUGCUAUAAAACGUUUACCUUUGGUCUACUGUGAUUAUCAUGGUCACUCUCGUAAAAAGAAUGUGUUUAUGUAUGGCUGCAGCAUCAAAGAGACAAUGUGGCACACAAAUGUUAAUGCUGCCUCUUGUGACCUGAUGGAAGACCCUGGCUACAGGGCACUCCCCAAGAUCCUGAGUCAAACUGCCCCAGCAUUCUGCAUGGGCAGCUGCAGCUUUGUAGUGGAAAAGUCGAAGGAAUCAACAGCGCGAGUUGUUGUCUGGAGAGAGAUAGGAGUACAAAGGAGCUACACAAUGGAAAGCACGUUAUGUGGAUGUGACCAGGGCAAAUACAAGGUAGAAGAGUUCAUGACCAAGACACUCUAUUCAUGUGAAGGUAUUUUCAUGAUGUGCUUAGUAAGGAAGACUUCAACCAACCAUCUAAAAUGCUACUGUGUAGAAGGAAGACAGUUGUAUAAAAUGUAAAGAAAAAGGAAUAAAAUUUGAGGCAUGUUUCUUUUUUUUUUUUUUUUUAAAAAAAAAAAGCUACUUCCAGGUGGCUUGUGCUUAAAAGCAAUGCUUGUAACACUUAAGGAACUUUAAUAGGCCACAGUUAAAGGUACUAGAACCACAGCUGAAGGUGUCUAGAAGAUCAAGAAGAGGAGCGUAAUCAAGGCUUCAGUGAAAAUGAACUUCACCUGCAUUCCCGUAGUUAGGGCAAUUGUUUAUUAUUAUUUCCUGAAACAGACUUUGGGUCUCCUGUUUCAUGGAAUUUAAGAGAUUUGGCCAAUGGAAGAAAAACAAUGGAUUAAGAAAUUUGGUAUUUGGCAGCUGUGUGGUAUUGCAUUCUCCAUUAUGAUUUAAAGAAAUGACAGAAGCAAAUCUAGACUUUGGCACGGGCUUUUACCGCAAGUAUGUGGACACUUCAGUACAGCAAGUUCAAACUUCAUCAUCCAGGUGUUUCACAGUUAUCCACCUGCAAUCUGAUCCAUUUAGGUGUCUUUUUAGUUAUAUCCUCUUUCUGCUGUGCUGAAAAUAGCCACAGAGCGUGCACAUGCUAAUUUAUUUUUCUAACAAUUGUCUGCACUUUCUUUCAUACUGUACUCUUCGCCUUUUUUGACUUAGAGCAACUCCUAUUAUACUGUCUGUAAGGAAUCUGCCAACUAACGAUAACUUCUUCAGCAACAGAUAUAGACAAUGAUUGGAACAGUUUCUGAACCAUCAAGUUGUGCGCAUUAGUAAUCUAUGUAACAGUGAGAUUACUGUUACCCUUCUCCUCCUCUUCUGCAUACUUGUUGCCUCUUGUCCUUAAUGUUAUUUUAAUCUCUUUGGGGCAGGGACUGUGUCUUCCUGUGAUUAGCGUAGUGGAGCCCCAGCUAUGAUUGGGGUCUUCGAAUGUUACUGAUGUGCAAACAAAUACAAAACAAAAACAAAAAAUUGGCCUCUGUGGAUAAGGUACUGCACUGGGAGUGAGGAGAACUGAUUUCUGUUCCCAGCGGGGUCAGUGACAUGCUGUGAGACACUGUGCAAAUGGCUUCAACCCUCUCUGCCUCCAUUUCUCCAUCAGUAAAGUGAGGAUAAUUCUUCCUUUAUUAAUAAAGUGCUUUGAAACCUACAGCACAAAAGCAUUAUGAAAGAGGGAUUGCAGAUAGGGACAAGAGAACUGGAGGAGAUGGGAGCAAAGUUCUGUGUUGGCUUACUGCGUUUGAAAAGAAUGGCCUCAC